UUCCGUAGGGGGAACCUGCGGAGGGAUCAUUACUGAGUUACCGCUCUAUAACCUUUGUGAACAUACCUAUAUGUUGCUUCGGCGGUCGGCCCCCCGGGCCCCCGGCCCCGCUCACGCGGGGCGUCCGCCGGAGGAUAACCAAACUCUGAUUUAACGACGUUUCUUCUGAGUGGCACAAGCAAAUAAUCAAAACUUUUAACAACGGAUCUCUUGGUUCUGGCAUCGAUGAAGAACGCAGCGAAAUGCGAUAAGUAAUGUGAAUUGCAGAAUUCAGUGAAUCAUCGAAUCUUUGAACGCACAUUGCGCCCGCCAGCAUUCUGGCGGGCAUGCCUGUUCGAGCGUCAUUUCAACCCUCAAGCACUGCUUGGUGUUGGGGCUCUACGGUUGACGUAGGCCCCCAAAACUAGUGGCGGACCCUCUCGGAGCCUCCUUUGCGUAGUAACUUUUGUCUCGCACUGGGAUUCGGAGGGACUCUAGCCGUUAAACCCCCAAUUUUCCAAAGGUUGACCUCGGAUCAGGUAGGAAUACCCGCUGAACUUAAGCAUAUCAAU
rnacentral:rRNA from 1 species